rnacentral:rRNA from 1 species
GGCAUUGCGCAGCUACACAUGCAGUCGAACGGUAGCACAGAGAAGCUUGCUCUCGGGUGACGAGUGGCGGACGGGUGAGUAAUGUCUGGGAAACUGCCUGAUGGAGGGGGAUAACUACUGGAAACGGUAGCUAAUACCGCAUAACGUCGCAAGACCAAAGAGGGGGACCUUCGGGCCUCUUGCCAUCAGAUGUGCCCAGAUGGGAUUAGCUAGUAGGUGGGGUAACGGCUCACCUAGGCGACGAUCCCUAGCUGGUCUGAGAGGAUGACCAGCCACACUGGAACUGAGACACGGUCCAGACUCCUACGGGAGGCAGCAGUGGGGAAUAUUGCACAAUGGGCGCAAGCCUGAUGCAGCCAUGCCGCGUGUAUGAAGAAGGCCUUCGGGUUGUAAAGUACUUUCAGCGGGGAGGAAGGUGUUGUGGUUAAUAACCGCAGCAAUUGACGUUACCCGCAGAAGAAGCACCGGCUAACUCCGUGCCAGCAGCCGCGGUAAUACGGAGGGUGCAAGCGUUAAUCGGAAUUACUGGGCGUAAAGCGCACGCAGGCGGUCUGUCAAGUCGGAUGUGAAAUCCCCGGGCUCAACCUGGGAACUGCAUUCGAAACUGGCAGGCUAGAGUCUUGUAGAGGGGGGUAGAAUUCCAGGUGUAGCGGUGAAAUGCGUAAAGAUCUGGAGGAAUACCGGUGGCGAAGGCGGCCCC